rnacentral:snoRNA from 1 species
CCCCUCUCAGGGUCAAAUCUGGAGAGUUUCCAGUACUCUACCAGUCUUGACUAUGGGAGGGAGAGUCAAGCAGAGGCAUAUCCAUUCCAUUCCUAGUUUGGGCAGUGGCUAGCGAGUGGAAGGCAAUUUGUUACAAGU